CACAAGCAUGCGGGUGCUUACACAUGCAAGUCGAACGAUGACCCCGUGCUUGCACGGGUGAUUAGUGGCGAACGGGUGAGUAACACGUGAGUAACCUGCCCUUGACUCUGGGAUAAGCCUGGGAAACUGGGUCUAAUACUGGAUAUGCACCGUGAACCGCAUGGUUUUUGGUGGAAAGAUUUAUUGGUCAAGGAUGGACUCGCGGCCUAUCAGCUUGUUGGUGAGGUAAUGGCUCACCAAGGCGACGACGGGUAGCCGGCCUGAGAGGGUGACCGGCCACACUGGGACUGAGACACGGCCCAGACUCCUACGGGAGGCAGCAGUGGGGAAUAUUGCACAAUGGGCGAAAGCCUGAUGCAGCGACGCCGCGUGAGGGAUGACGGCCUUCGGGUUGUAAACCUCUUUCAGUAGGGAAGAAGCGAAAGUGACGGUACCUGCAGAAGAAGCGCCGGCUAACUACGUGCCAGCAGCCGCGGUAAUACGUAGGGCGCAAGCGUUAUCCGGAAUUAUUGGGCGUAAAGAGCUCGUAGGCGGUUUGUCGCGUCUAUCGUGAAAGUCCGAGGCUCAACCUCGGAUCUGCGGUGGGUACGGGCAGACUAGAGUGAUGUAGGGGAGACUGGAAUUCCUGGUGUAGCGGUGAAAUGCGCAGAUAUCAGGAGGAACACCGAUGGCGAAGGCAGGUCUCUGGGCAUUAACUGACGCUGAGGAGCGAAAGCAUGGGGAGCGAACAGGAUUAGAUACCCUGGUAGUCCAUGCCGUAAACGUUGGGCACUAGGUGUGGGGGACAUUCCACGUUUUCCGCGCCGUAGCUAACGCAUUAAGUGCCCCGCCUGGGGAGUACGGCCGCAAGGCUAAAACUCAAAGGAAUUGACGGGGGCCCGCACAAGCGGCGGAGCAUGCGGAUUAAUUCGAUGCAACGCGAAGAACCUUACCAAGGCUUGACAUGUGCCAGAUCGCCGUGGAAACACGGUUUCCCCUUUGGGGCUGGGUUCACAGGUGCUGCAUGGUUGUCGUCAGCUCGUGUCGUGAGAUGUUUGGGAUAAGGUCCAGCACGAGCAGCAACCUCGUUCAUGUUGCAGCACGUAUGGUGGGGUACUCAUGGGUAGAACUGACGGGUCAACUUCGAGGACGUGGAGACCGAGUCGAAUCAUGCAUGCCCUUAUGUCUGGACUGUCCGCGAUGCUCAUGACGUUAACCUGGGUGUGCAAUUGUGAGGUCGUAAUGCUAGUACGCGAGAGAG
rnacentral:rRNA from 1 species